rnacentral:rRNA from 1 species
AGCGAACGCUGGCGGCAGGCCUAACACAUGCAGGUCGAGCGGGCAUCUUCGGAUGUCAGCGGCAGACGGGUGCGUAACACGUGGGAACGUACACUUAGGUUCGGAACAACUCUGGGAAACUGGAGCUAAUACCGGCUACGACCUCAUGGGGAAAGGUUUACUGCCGAAGGAUCGGGCCGCGUCGGAUUAGCCAGUUGGUGGGGUGACGGCGUACCAAGGGGACGAUGUUUAGCUUGGCUGAGAGGAUGAUCAGCCACACUGGCGGUGAGAAGCGGCGCGGACUACUACAGGAGGGAGCAGAGGGGAAUAUUGGACAAUGGGCUGAGGCCUGAUCGAGCCAGGCCUGGUGAGUGAUGAAGGCCGUAGGGUUGUAAAGCUCUUUUGUCCGGGACGAUAAUGACGGUACCGGAAGAAUAAGCCCCGGCUAACUUCGUG